rnacentral:rRNA from 1 species
AUUGAACGCUGGCGGCAUGCCUUACACAUGCAAGUCGAACGGCAGCACGGGGCAACCUGGUGGCGAGUGGCGAACGGGUGAGUAAUGCAUCGGAACGUGCCGUUGAGUGGGGGAUAACGUAGCGAAAGUUGCGCUAAUACCGCAUAUUCUGUGAGCAGGAAAGCAGGGGACCGCAAGGCCUUGCGCUCUUUGAGCGGCCGAUGUCAGAUUAGCUAGUUGGUGAGGUAACGGCUUACCAAGGCGACGAUCUGUAGCGGGUCUGAGAGGAUGAU